rnacentral:rRNA from 1 species
AUUGAACGCUGGCGGCGUGCCUAACACAUGCAAGUCGAGCGGUAACAGGUGUAGCAAUACAUGCUGACGAGCGGCGAACGGGUGAGUAAUGCUUCGGAAUCUGCCCAUGUAGUGGGGAAUAACCAGCCGAAAGGUUGGCUAAUACCGCAUACGACCCUUGCCCACAAGGCAAAGGUGAAAGCAGGGAUCGCAAGACCUUGCGCUAUUGGAUGAGCCGAAGUCGGAUUAGCUAGUUGGUAGGGUAACGGCCUACCAAGGCGACGAUCCGUAGCUGGUCUGAGAGGAC